rnacentral:rRNA from 1 species
UACAGAGGUCUCAAGCGUUGUUCGGAUUCAUUGGGCGUAAAGGGUGCGUAGGCGGCGCGGUAAGUCGGGCGUGAAAUCCCACGGCUCAACCGUGGAAGUGCACUCGAAACUGCAUAGCUAGAGUCCUGGAGAGGAAGGUGGAAUGCUUGGUGUAGAGGUGAAAUUCGUAGAUAUCAAGCGGAACACCGGUGGCGAAGGCGGCCUUCUGGACAGUGACUGACGCUGAGACGCGAAAGCGUGGGGAGCAAACAGG